GACGAACGCUGGCGGCGUGCUUAACACAUGCAAGUCGAACGAAGUGUCGAACGGGUGCGUAAUACGUGGGUAACAUGCCCUCCUUUUUGGGAUAAGCCUUGGAAACGGGGUCUAAUCCCGACUACCGGGGGAUGGGCUCGCGGCCUAUAAGUUUGUUGGUGGGGUGAUGGCCUACCAAGGCGGUGACGGGUAGCAGGGCUGAGAGGGUGACCGGCCACAGUGGGACUUGAAUAAGUCCCAUGGUACUAAGGGAGGCAGCAGUGGGGGAUAUUGCAGAAUGGGCGAACGACUGAUGCAGCGACGCCGCGUUGGGGAUGAGGGCUGUCGGGUUGUAAACCUAUUUCGCUAUCGACCGGGUAGGUGGAGAAGAAGCGCCGGCUAACUACGUGCCAGCAGCCGCGGUAAUAC
rnacentral:rRNA from 1 species